rnacentral:rRNA from 1 species
AGGGUGUAAACGCUGCGGGCUUGGUGUUGGGGUCCGUUUGUAGGGCGGCCCACGUGCCGGGAGGAGAAGUUGUUAAGCCUGCUGCUUGGGGAGGUACGUCCGCAAGGAUGAAACUUAAAGGAAUUGGCGGGGGAGGCACCGCAACGGGAGGAGCGUGCGGUUCAAUUGGAUUCAACGCCGGACAACUCACCAGGAGCGACGGUUACAUGAAGGCCAGGCUGAUGACCUUGCCUGAUUUUCCGAGAGGAGGUGCAUGGCGUAGUCGUG